CUCAGUGCAAGAGGCAACACUGCAGUCCCUGAUUCGAAUCCAGGCCGCAUCACAUCCGGCUGUGAUUGGGAGUACAAUAGCCCUUAUCCACAUUCUAUGAAUCGAACGUUCUAAACACACUUCCUAUCUGUUUGGCAAUUUCCGACGAAAUAACGUUACUACCACUAUGUCGCAGUUUUUUACUAGGUGUCCUUCAGGACUUGCCUCAAAUUAAUAUUAAUGAUGUACAUCGAAUUGUUAAAUCAGCCUCCGAGACUCCAGCUAGCAAGAAUGAAAAGGGGUUCAAGAUGUAUAUAUGAAGCUACAUAGACAACUAUGAAGAUGGUGUUUAAGCACUCCGUACCAGUGAUAGUGGUCCAAAGCCACUGCUCCUGUGUUGCAGGAAGUGCUCUGUGCAAUCAUCUGGUGGCUCUUCUUUACCAGACAGCACACUACUCUCAACUAAACAUUCCUGCUGCACCACCAGUUCACAGCUGCACAGACACAGAACAGCGUUGGCACAAGCCAAGAACACAAGAAAAGUAUUCAGCCUAUGUAACAGUAAAUCCUUGUUAAUUAGGGUGUGAAACCAGGUCCGGUUGAUGGGAUAGAGUUCAGUAAACCUACUAACUCGUGUGCUGAUGGAAUAAGAAGUUCUCUCUACAAAGCACUCAAUGGAUACAUGCCUGACAUGGACCUACUCCACGUCUCAGAAACAUAUGCCAACUUUUCUCCACUUACUGCCCCUCUUGUGACAACAAUGGAAAUGUCAGCUGACGUGCCCCUGGUUGAAUCCACCUUUGUGCAAGCCGGCAGUGUUCUGUCCUAUCAGCUUCCACAGCCAAAGACCCUUGAAAUUGUGAAGAUUGCCGAUGCCACUUCUCCACCAAUACUUCCGUUAGAUGGCUUCAGGCUUCCUAGUGUGCUUACGUCCUUAGCCAUCAGCAGUUCCACCUCAAGGCAUUAGAGACAACCUACGAGAUGUCAUACAAAGUCCAGGUUGCUACAAGGGAGCAGAGCAGCAGCCUGGAAUGGCAUCAGCUCAGGAAAAUGAGAAUAACAUCCUCGUUUCCGAGCGGUUUGCCAUGUCCGGGGAGAGACCUCAGCUGACCACCUAGCUGAGCGGAUGUUCAAGGGAUCUGGUAUGCAGACCAUGGAGAUGAAGAGGGGGCUGGCCAUGGAGCCAGUGGCUGUACAGGAGUACUACACACUGAAGAAUGUUAACUUCUUUCCGUGUGGCUUCGUAGUGCACCCAGAUGCUCCGUGGUUAGGAUCCUCUCCAGAUGGCAUCAUAUUUGAUCCCAGUGUAAGACCACACUUUGGACUCUUAGAGGUCAAGUGCCCAAAUGUACCAAGUUAUGUUGACUGCCCUUACCUGAAGAUACAGAAUAGAGAGCUGAAGUUGAAGAGAUCGCAUGCUUACUACUGGCAGGUGCAAGGUCAAAUCCUUCUCACAGGUUGUAGCUGGUGUGACCYUUGUCAUCUGUGCAMAGGAGGACAUCCUAGU